AGAGUUUGAUCCUGGCUCAGAUUGAACGCUGGCGGCAUGCUUUACACAUGCAAGUCGGACGGCAGCACAGAGAAGCUUGCUUCUUGGGUGGCGAGUGGCGAACGGGUGAGUAACAUAUCGGAACGUACCGAGCAGUGGGGGAUAACUAAUCGAAAGAUUAGCUAAUACCGCAUAUAUUCUGAGGAAGAAAGCAGGGGACCAUUUGGCCUUGCGCUGUUCGAGCGGCCGAUAUCUGAUUAGCUGGUUGGUGGGGUAAAGGCCUACCAAGGCGACGAUCAGUAGCGGGUCUGAGAGGAUGAUCCGCCACACUGGGACUGAGACACGGCCCAGACUCCUACGGGAGGCAGCAGAAGGG
rnacentral:rRNA from 1 species